CUAUAGUUUGAUUCUUGCUAUUACCUUUAUUAGUUGGCUUGAAAAAUACAUGCAAAUUUUAGUUUGUAAUUUACAGCACUGUUCGUUAAAUACGAAGAGGGGGUGCGACGCGAUUGGUAGUGUGAACUACAAUUUUUAGGGGUGCAGUAUUAAAAAUUUAAUGAAUCAGAUAAGUGUGGAUUAAGCAAAGCCUACUCAGGUCAGGUUAAAACUUGUGCCAGCAGCCGCGGUUAGACUCGAUGGCCCAGUGAAGGUGAAUAAGUGUAAAGGUUAAAUGAACGGAAGUUAAAUAAAGAUUAUGUGUUUAAUAUAAUAAUAGGUGAAAUUUGUUUAUUAAAUUUAGAAAAUUAAACGCAAGUUAAAUUUGACUUUAAUUGAAGCCUAGAAAAUUUAGGUAAGGACCAGGAUUAGAUACCCUGUUACUCUAAUAGGAGCAUAUAGUGAAAAACUUGAGUAUUAGUAAUAAAUUAAUUUUAAAUUCAAAGAACCUGGCGGUACUUUAGUCUAGUUGGAGGAACCUGUUUUAUAAACGAUAAACCACGUAAAAUCUUUCUUAUUCUUGUAUAGCUAGUAUACCUUCAUUACAGAUAAUCUUAGUUGAUUGAUUGUUGUAAUCGGUGUAAUACUAAAUAAAUUAGAUCAAGGUGCUGCAGAUGAAUAAGUAAAAAUGGGUUACAAUGGUUUUAAACGUUAAGCGGAGUAUAUUUAGAAUGAAUAUAUGAAGAUGGAUUCAAUUGUAAUUUUAAUUUUAAUAAGGUAAAAUGGUAUUAGCUCUAAAGUGUGUACAUAUUGCCCGUCGCUUUCAUUAAAUCAAAUGAGAUAAGUCGUAACAUAGUGGGUGUACUGGAAAGUGCACCUAGAAG
rnacentral:ncRNA from 1 species